rnacentral:misc_RNA from 1 species
AAGUGUGGCUGGAUCACCUCCUUUCUAAGAGAAAGGUAUUACUUAAAGGUAAAUUAUGAAAUGUAAAUAUGUUUUAACUCUUCCUUUGUCUUUUCUAAGACUAUUUUUAGGGGGUUUAGCUCAGUUGGCUAGAGCAUCGGCUUUGCAAGCCGGGGGUCGAGGGUUCGAGUCCCUCAACCUCCAUUUAUUUUAGGCUGAAUAAAUGGAGGUUAUAAUUAGCAGUAAUGCUAUGUUGAUUGUAGCUAAAUUUAAAAUUGUUAAGGAUCCGUUCUAAUUUUAUUGUCUAGGUAAUGUGUUUUUUAUUAUGUCUUUAAUUAAGUACGGUUGUUUACGUAUGGCAAUUCAUGAUAAGUGAUCUUAAUUUAGAUUUUGUUUUUUCAUUUUUUGUUUGCAUUCGUUACAAUUAAUUUUUGAUUUUUAAGAUGUGGGUUUAGGAAUUGCAAAUCACUAAGCGUAAGGCAUUUCUUUAAAUAUUUGGAUGUUUC